GGCAAACUGCUCAGUAACACAUGAUCAACUUACCCUACAGAGAAAAAUAACCUCGGGAAACUGAGGAUAAUGUUUCAUAGUUGAAUAGGCUUGGAAAAGUUUUUCAAUAAAGGGAUAAGGAAAAUGGUCCUUAUCCGCUAUAGGAUAGGAUCGUGUUCGAUUAUGGUUGUUGGUGAGGUAACGGCUCACCAAGCCGAUAAUCGAUAGGGGCCGUGAGAGCGGGAGCCCCGAGAUGGGUACUGAGACAACGACCCAGGCCUUACGAGGCGCAGCAGGCGCGGAACCUCCGCAAUACACGAAAGUGUGACGGGGUUACCCAAAGUGCCCUUUCUAGAGCUGUGGUAGGUGAGUAAUGUUCCCUACUAGAAAGGAGAGGGCAAGGCUGGUGCCAGCCGCCGCGGUAAAACCAGCUCUUCAAGUGGUCGGGAUAAUUAUUGGGCUUAAAGUGUCCGUAGCCGGUUUAGAAAGUUCCUGGUAAAAUCGGGUAGCUUAACUAUCCGUAUGCUAGGAAUACUGCUAUACUAGAGGGCGGGAGAGGUCUGAGGUACUACAGGGGUAGGGGUGAAAUCUUAUAAUCCUUGUAGGACCACCAGUGGCGAAGGCGUCAGACUGGAACGCGCCUGACGGUGAGGGACGAAAGCCAGGGGAGCGAACCGGAUUAGAUACCCGGGUAGUCCUGGCCGUAAACGAUGCAUACUAGGUGAUGGUACGGCCAUGAGCCGUGUCAGUGCCGUAGGGAAACCGUUAAGUGUGCCGCCUGGGAAGUACGGUCGCAAGGCUAAAACUUAA
rnacentral:rRNA from 1 species